ACGCCUACCAUCGUGCCGCCACUUCCCAUGGAUCGCGCCGCUGCUUCCGAUGGAUUGUGCCGCCACUCUGCUCACCACCGUAGUCGUCACAGCCUAUCCCAGCAGUCGUCGCUGCCCACCGCAUCCAACCGCUGUCGCAUCUCACCGCCUCCACCGCCCCCAUGAAUCACCGCCUCCACUCUCUUGGACCAGCAUGCUGCGGUGGAUGCUUCCGGUCCCGUUGUGGCGACACGGCUUGUCAAGGGAACACGGUAAGGCGGAUUGUGUCCCGUUCGUUGAUCUGCCCCACUUGCUUCUGCUCCUCUCCCAUCAACCGUCAUGUCAACAUUUACCACGACACACGACGUUCUCCUCUUCUGCGACGAUGCUUAUAAGCGACAAUAAUGGUGUCCUGUUGUGGCCAAACACUCAUCGGAACGCUGAAGCACGGAAGUGCCCGGAGAAGAUCGCUCUCCGCUUAGCAAAUUCCACCGUGUUCUGAAUGGCUGCCCGACAAGACGCUCUGCCGGAUGUUCAUCAUCAGCGCCAGUCAUGGGUUCGGGCUACUGUGGAACUCAUGGCAUCAACCAUAUGAACCUGCAUGUAUUUGAUAGUUUGCUCGAUCAGUUUUAUGCCUUCCACUACAGCUAAGGCUACAACGCAACUUCAUUGAGAUUUUUUCUAUAGGACUCGGAUUAAUAAUCCCCAACAAUACGGUCACGCUUCUUAUAAAUUUCAGGUAUAAAUACAUUUGUGAUUUUCUGUAUGUUGUACUACUAAACUGUGUGCUAUACCAAGCAUGGCAUCUGCGCCUUUUCAGAUAUGAAUGCAUUUUUCAAGAGAAUUUAUCUAAGAUGUAGUAUAUAGAAAGGUACCUAAAAUGUUAGCUUAUAUUGCCAACUCUUGAAAAUAUACGGGCCUUUUACUUUUUUGCCAUGAACCAUGGGAUUUCAUGAAUAAUACCCAAUGCAUUGCUUACUGUUGUCCAGUGUACUACAGUUUAGUAUGAAAAACUUGACCUUUGUUUGACAAGAAAAUGUUUGCUAACUCCCAAACGGACUGACUUUCGAGAACCAAUUUAGGUUGUGAUCAUUAGUGCGUCUUCAAAGCUGCUUCACAUAACAUAACAUUUGAUUUUUACUAAUCUGAAAUCAAGCCUAAGCAAUGUUAAGUAGACCUUUGAAUUCUUAAUAAGGAAAUUACACAAUCUGUUCUGUGUGCUGUAGGAUUAGUGUUGUUUGAAGAUGUUUUUCUUCUUACCAAUCAGGUUGAUGAUUUUGACUGUCGAUGCAGAUGCUGUGCCGAAUGUUCAUCAUCGGUGGCAGUCAUGGGUUCAGGCUCCUCUGGAACUCAUGGCAUCGACCAUAUGAACCUUCAUGUAUUUGAUAGUUUGCUCGAUCAGUUUUAUGCCUUCCACUACAGCUAAGGCUACUACGCAGCUUCAUUGAGAUUUUUUCUAUAGGAUUUGGAUUAAUAAUCUCCAAUAAUAUGGUCAUGCUUCUUAUAAUUACUUUCAUGUAUAAAUACAUUUGUGAUUUUCUGUAUGUUGUACUACUAAACUGUGUGCUAUACCAAGCCUAAGCAAUGUUAAGUAGACCGUUGAAUUCUUAAUAAGGAAAUUACACAAUCUGUUUUGUGUGCUGUAGGAUUAGUGUUGUUUGAAGAUGUUUUUCUUCUUACCAAUCAGGUUGAUGAUUUUUACUGUCGAUGCAGACGCUGUGCCGGAUGUUCAUCAUCAGUGGCAGUCAUGGGUUCAGGCUCCUGUGGAACUCAUGGCAUCGACCAUAUGAACCUUCAUGUAUUUGAUAGUUUGCUCGAUCAGUUUUAUGCCUUCCACUACAGCUAAGGCUACUAUGCAGCUUCAUUGAAUUUUUUUCUAUAGGAUUUGGAUUAAUAAUCUCCAAUAAUAUCGUCAUGCUUCUUAUAAAUACUUUCAGGCAACCUGCAAAUUCCAUGCCGCCAUUGUGGACCAGUGCAUGCCAUGCCAACAUUGUUUCUUAUUACCACCGUUGUUGACAAUAUUGGUGGUGCCGUCACAUGGAUCAAUCAGUGCACCCCACGCUGUCGCUUUGUCGACGAGAUAGUAGUGCCGUCUUAUCCAUCGAUCAGUGCACCUACUUAUUAACGUCGCAUCGGCUAUGUGAAUAGCUGCGUCAGUGGCUUUGCACCUCGAUCCAUAUUACUUUCAUGCAAAGCCUGUCAUGUUUGUCUUAUGUGCAGGAAUAGGCAAGCACAACAGAAGACCUGAUCAUAGACACUCAUAGUCUGAGGUAAAUACUCCUUCAAUGCAAGCUGUCAAAUAGUUUUCUUUUAUCUUGAAAACUGUAAAUUUAUUUAAAAAAUUGUGGUAACAAAUUUAUUAAGUUAUUACGUGGGAGAGACCAUCAACUAAUAAUAAUAUAUAAAACAAGGGUAGGCUAGGAAAAAGAUACAUCAUUCUUAGAAAAUUGUACUAACAAAGUUGUUAAGUUAUUACGUGGGAGAGACUCAACUAAUAAUAUAAAAACAAGGGUAGGCAGUAUUAUCGGAAAGAUUGGACGCUACUUCUUCCUCCAGGCCCGAAAGAGAUCACGCUUCUCCACCAUCUCUUCCUCUCCUGGUUAGAAAACAACCUCAAUCAAUUUUCCUUAUUUGUAACUUUUUCGGCUGUGCUAAUGGAGCUUAUACUAAAAACUGUUUUCCUCAUCUGCAUCAGGUUCAUUUUCUUACAAUAUUUUGUUAUAUGUUUUUCCAUGCAGGUUUAUCUUGAAUACACAAUAACUUUGGAUUUGAGAUCACUUUGUUUUGUACCAUGUGCUUGGAUAGUGUUGUGCUCUCCAGGGAUGCAAUCCCGGCUCUUCUCACUAGAACCUAUGGAUACCUCAUGGAGAUUUGUUGGAGCAUAAUCUUCUAAAUGUACAACCUAUGUAUACAUAUGGACAUCGGAGGGAGCAUAAUUAUGAUCAUCAAGCGAGCUUAUAAAAACCUGCUGUCUAAACAGACUACAGUAGCAUGAAAGAGGCUAAUGUCAGUUGUCAACGUCGUCACUGGUCAAGUUACUAAUCAAUUUUUGUAUCGACAAAACAUGUCCAGGACCCUCCAUGAGGGAGUUAACAUCUUCAAUGGCCUUCCCAAUCUCCAGUUACGGCAGAUGUUGUUGCUUGAUAUGCCGGUCCGCCACAAUCUCCUGUUCAUGGAAGUUCCUUGCCAAGCUGCCAUGUCCUGGCCGUUGAGAAUUGACUUCUCAUGAAUUUUCUUCUAACCUUUUUUUUUCAGUCAGCAGAUAGUGCAGAUAGUUAGGCGGUGAAACACUUGACAAUGAAGAUGUUUGUCAACUACUAAAACAUUGAUGGUUUCUGUUAUACUGUAUAUCUGAAUAAACAAUUUUGCGGGCAAUUUUUUUGCAUAAGUAAAGGCAUGUGAGAACUGCUAAUGCUUGAGUGUCGU